rnacentral:rRNA from 1 species
GACGAACGCUGGCGGCGUGCCUAAUACAUGCAAGUAGAACGCUGAAGGAGGAGCUUGCUCUUCUGGAUGAGUUGCGAACGGGUGAGUAACGCGUAGGUAACCUGCCUGGUAGCGGGGGAUAACUAUUGGAAACGAUAGCUAAUACCGCAUAACAGUAGAUGUUGCAUGACAUUUACUUAAAAGGUGCAAUUGCAUCACUACCAGAUGGACCUGCGUUGUAUUAGCUAGUUGGUGGGGUAACGGCUCACCAAGGCGGCGAUACAUAGCCGACCUGAGAGGGUGAUCGGCCACACUGGGACUGAGACACGGCCCAGACUCCUACGGGAGGCAGCAGUAGGGAAUCUUCGGCAAUGGACGGAAGUCUGACCGAGCAACGCCGCGUGGGUGAAGAAGGUUUUCGGAUCGUAAAGCUCUGUUGUAAGAGAAGAACGAGUGUGAGAGUGGAAAGUUCACACUGUGACGGUAUCUUACCAGAAAGGGACGGCUAACUACGUG